GGAGGUUCGGGAGGGCAGGGCGCGGCGCCCUUCGAUUUAGGCCUAGCUGGAGCACUGUAAGGAGCAAUAACUGUUGACAUGUUUAUGUCAGAUUGGCCUGUAUUUUCUUUUACAAGUGCGCAUGCGCACAAAUUCAACAUGUUGGAGGCCUGAUAUGGCUUUAGGACUUGGUUGUAAUGAAAAACAAACGUAACAGUAUGCUCCUUUUAGUUUUAUUUUACUUAAAUAUUGUUUUUUAGGCCACUAUUAUGAUAUGUUAAACAUCGAUUUAACUUAUAUGCAAAAGCGUUGUAUCGCUAUGAAUUUGUUUUUGUUGAUUUGAGUAAUAAAUUGUUUCAGAUAAGCAUACGAUAAGCCGACAUGAAAUUAAUUAAUUUGCUAUUCAGUACAUUGGAACCAUUUUGAUUGAGGAUAUGUCAAAUAUAAACUGCUGAAAUUGUUUAAUCCUCAUAUAGUAUGGAUUUACAUUGUAUUAAAAUUUGUGGAUUCUAAAAAAAUAGCCUUAUAAGUUGGAGCUUAAAUUCGUGGGUUACUUUAUGUCAAAUAUGAGAAUUUGGACCUAACAUUCGUUGAACAUUUCAUUUCGUUGUUGAACGGACCUACGAAAAUAAGUUCCCUAUGAAUAAUAUAGAUUUCACAGAAAGUAAACUAAAUGAGCAUGGAGCAAUGUCUGGACUUGUGAAUACUUAAUGUUAACUUGUAUUGAAGUCCCAUUUAAUUGCUUAUUUUGAACUUAAGUACUUGGUAUGGUAAAGUAUGAAGUGUUACUUAAUAUUUGAUCUCUAGGACCCUUAUUUGCCUAGCCCAUUAGGACAUUUGAGGACUGGUCUUCAACAAAUAAUUCCGAAAUUAUUCUUGAACUGUUUGGUGUGUAGCAGUUUUAGUAUAAAAGGGUUUUAUAUUCUUUUAAAAGAAAUAAUUGAGCCUAGCUCUGGGAAAACAGGGCUUAAUGCAUUUACGUAAAGUGUCUCAGAUUAGCCUGUUCAGUUAGCAGAGACUAAUCAGGAAUAAAACUUUACGCAUAUGCAUUUAACCCUCUUGUCCCAGAGUGCAGCUUAACUCUUAUUUUGCUCGAGUUAAUUGUUCUGAAAACACAAGUUUAAGUACUACAUACGAUUUCGCUUUAUAUAGGAUUUAAUUCUGCCCAGUACUCAAUCUUUAACUUUUAAACAACAUCGUGAGCUCGCUUGUUAUUUACAGCAUUGCCAAAUAUGUCAUCCAAUCUGGGGGUGAUAUCCAGAAAUGUUGUAAGAUUUUUUUUAUACACAACUGCCUCACAAAAUCGUCUUUGUCUGAAGCAUUUUCUACCAUUUACAAAUGUAUAUGUGGUAUACGCUAUGUGUUAAUUCUUGAUAUAAACUUUUUUAUGAAAAUGACCCUUAAUGCUAUGGCCCGAAUUACUUCAGGUAAUAGCACUUGGUCAAUUGUAUCCAUAUACUUUUCUACAGUCAGCCCUUAAGAGAUGAAAGUCUUCUGAGUAUUUGAUCUAAUUUCUGUCAUGCCUUUAAGUAUUUUUACUCAUCAAAAGUUUAUUGUAGCUCUAUUUAGUAUUACAAUUUUCUUGAACAUAUUUUAGCAUGAAGUGCUAAAAUCAUGUAUCGUAUGUAUUUGUUAUACAGCUUUUAGGCUGUUUAUAGAUUAUUUAUGGUUUUGACAAGACAGUAUUUUAUCGCAAAAGUCAAUAAUUAUAGGUAUAAUUUCGAAUUCGGCAUUGUCUGUGUCAUCAUCAUGUUUAGUAUUUAUUUUUUAUAACCCCGGAUCGAAUGAUCAGAGGUAUAUUGUUUUUGGCCUGUCUGUCUGUCUUUCUGUCUGUCAUUCUGUUGAAAACUUUAACAUUGGUUUAUGUUUUGCAAAAUUGAAUAACUUUUGCAGUAUUGAAGAUAGCAACUUGAUAUUUGGCAAGCAUGUGUAUCUCAUGGAGCUGCACAUUUUGAGUGGUGAAAGGUCAAGGUCAUCCUUCAAGGCCAAAGGUCAAAUUUAUGGCUUCAAAGCGGCGCAAUAGUGGGCAUUGUGUUUCUGACAAACACAUCUCUUGUUUUAGGUUGUUUGUUAGUUGUAUUAUCACUAUUAUAUUUAUGCCCCCCUUCGAAGAAGAGGGGGUAUAUUGCUUUGCACUUGUCGGUCGGUCGGUCUGUAGGUCCGUCCACCAAGUGGUUUCCGGAUGAUAACUCAAGAAUGCUUGGGCCAAGGAUCAUGAAACUUCAUAGGUACAUUGAUCAUGACUCGCAGAUGACCCCUAUUGAUUUUGAGGUCAUUAGGUCAAAGGUCAAGGUCACGGUGACCCAAAAUAGUAAAAUUGUUUCAGAUGAUAACUCAAGAACGCUAAUGCCUAGGAUCAUAUGCUUGAUAUGUAGAUUGAUCAUGAUUCGCAGUUGACCCCUUUUGAUUUUCAGGUCACUAUAUAAAAGGUCAAGGUCACUGUGACCUGAAAUAGUUUAAUGGUUUCCGGAUGAUAACUCAAGAACGCUAAUGGCUACGAUCAUGAAACUUCAUAGGUACAUUGAUCAUGACUCGCAGAUGACCCCUAUUGAUUUUCAGGUCACUAGGUCAAAGGUCAAGGUCACGGUGACCUGAAAUAGUAAAAUGGAUUCCGGAUGAUAACUCAAGAACGCUUAUGCCUAGGAUCAUCAAACUUCAUAGGUACAUUGGUCAUGACUCGCAGAUGACCCCUAGCAAUUUUCAGGUCACUAGGUCAAAGGUCAAAGUCACAGUGACAAAAACAUAUUCACACAAUGGCUGUCACUACAACGGAGAGCCCAUAUGGGGGGCAUGCAUGUUUUACAAACAGCCCAUGUAUACUGAGUUUUUAUUUUUUACUAAAUAUUUAUUUAAGAGAAUCAAAAUUAGUUUGUAUGGUCUUUAAUUAACAAUUUUAAAUUAAUAGUUUUAAGUUAAGUGCUGACUAAUAAAUACUCUAUAAUUUUGUUUCACUAUUGAGUGCUUGUAAUUUAUAUACAGAACUGUUUUUAUUUUGCCCGUCUUGAUUGCAGAAAUGUACACGUGUCCUGUAUUAUUAUUUUUUAAUUACUUCGAAAUAUUAUAAGUUAAUUUAGUUUUUUAUGAACUUUCCAUCAGGGCCCUGUCAAAUAGUCUAAGACAGAUUAUAGUUAUGAACUUAUAUUAGCUCACAACCAAUAUGUAUUUAUGAUAAUCCUAAAAAUAAAGCAUAUGUGAAAUAUUGGAAGGAAAUUAUUAGAAUCAUGAAAAUAACAGAUAUUUGAGUUGGGUGCAUAGUGAGUUUACUUAUUCCAAUAUUUUGGUUUGUACUUGUUUAUAGCGUCUUACAUGUAUCACUCAAAUAUAAGUCCAAGUUUGUCUUUUUGUAAAUGUUGUUACAUUUUAAAUUAAGAAUUCACAACCAUUUCAAUUUGUUGCAUUGUAUAGAAACAUAAAAAGCUAAUUCUAUUUCUUUUGGAAUAACUUAAAUCAAAGAUGAACAGAUCAAAAUGGGAAACGAAAAUCUAAAUUUAUAUUUUCUAUAUUAAAAUACUCAACUUUUCUUUAUGGAAUACUUAUUGUUUUGACCGGCACAUUUAACUAAACUGUGAUGAAUUGACUGAGAUUUGUAUGCAUAAUUUGCGUAUUUUUCUCCUUUGUUUACAAUUAAUAUAUACAUAUAUUGAUGAACCUUUGGAAAUGUAUCAAUAAACAUGAAUGGUAAGUUGUGAAUUGGGUAAUAUCAUAUUGCAAGUAUAAACUUGUAUUUAAUAUGUAGAGUGAUUGUUAUUUGAUAAAUAUAUUGUGAAUAAAAUAAUUGAGAGCCCUUAGUACUUUCCUAACAUAUAUUGUUUGCGAUGUGGUGAUCAUUAAACAAAGUAGGUUGUCUAAAUAUUUGGUUGUAGAUGAUUUUCGUACUUUAACAUUUCUUGUGCUGGUUUGUUUAUUAGAAAAGUAAAAGGAUGAUUUUUCUGAAUAUAUCUUCUUAAAACUCUUGUUUAUGAAGUUAAAGAAUACUGAAUGUUUGAAAUGUGUGGGUUUUGUUUGUUUCCCUUCAUAAAUAUUUUUGUUUCUCCACUUUUUUAUUUUGAGUGUUUUAACCCUGAUGUUAUUGUUUUUUCUUCUGUCUGUAAGCACGCUUUGUGUGAAAUUUAAUAUAUAUAUAUAUAUAUAUAUAUAUAUAUAUAUAUAUAUAUAUAUAUAUAUAUAUAUAUAUAUUAUAUAAACCUGAUAGAAAGUGACACAAUUAUUUUUUUAUGCCGAGUUAGAAAUGAAGCUGGCAAAUAUUUUCAUAUUAUGAUGAAGCGGUAAUGCAAAACAUAAAACAUCAAUAAAAAUUUAACAAAAGGCUCAUUAAAAAAAACUUAUCAAACGGCAUUACCGUAUGCAAGUUUGAUCAAAGCAUGUCGAGCUGCUUACGGUACUUCUUUAUUGAUUCUUGUUUGUAUUUUGACGAUUUUUUAUUUGGUGACCAAGGAAAGAUGACACAAUUGUUAUACAAUUUAUAGGGACCAAAAGUUAAGAGUCAAGAGGAUCAUGUGAAAGAAAUAUUAUAUUUUUUAUGAAUUUGUAAAGGUUGUUGAUCUCUUUUUUAUAUGUGAUUUUUACCUUUUUUCCUCUUAUUUAGAACAACUUUGUCUUCAUUUUAUGCGCACAAUUGAAAAUUGUUAAUGGUUUUCAUAUUUAUUAGAUUUGAAUAAAACACGGUGAAUUGAA